ensembl:lncRNA
AAAUGCAGGUCUUUCUUUGUUCUCCAUUAUCUUUUAAUUUGAUUUUGUUUUGCUUUUGUUUUAUUGGUUUUACGCUGACGCUAUGCUUCCAUUGUCACUUGAACCUUCUUUAUUGCUGGGGCCCGCGUGCUGGAUACACCUGUCAUUGGGGGGAUUAUUUAUUUUCUCAUCAGCAAAUUCUACCACACAUUUAUUUUUUUCCCCUUUUGUUUCUUUUUUUAAUUGAAGUAUAGUUGAUUUACGAUGUUGUGUUAGUUUCAGGUACAGAGCAAAGCAAUUCGGUUAUGCAUAUAUACGUGUGUGUGUGCAUGUGUGUAUACAUAUAUUCUGUUUGAAAUUCUUUUCCCGUAUAGGUUGUUACAAGAUAUGGCAUAUAGUUCCCUGUGCUCUACAGUAGGUCCUUGUUGGUUACCUACUUUAUAUAUUGUAGUAUAUAUACGUUAAUCCCAGGCUCCUAAUUUCUCCAUCUCUCUGCCCUCUGCCAUGUAUUUAAAUGUGGAAACUAUUUUCCUGCUUUUUUUGUUUGUUUUUUUUGUUUGUUUUAUUUUGUUUUUGUCUUUUUGCCUUUUCUAGGGCCACUCUCUUGGCACAUGGAGGUUCCCAGGCUAGGGGUCUAAUCGGAGCUGUAGCCACCGGCCUACACCAGAGCCACAGCAAUGCAGGAUCCGAGCCGCAUCUGUGACCUACACCAGAGCUCACGGCAACACCGGAUCCUUAACCCACUGAGCAAGGCCAGGGAUCGAACCCACAACCUCAUGGUUCCUAGUCAGAUUCGUUAACCACUGAGCCACGGGAACUCCCUAUUUUCCUGCUUUUUGACUCAAUAAUUACACACUUCUCAGAAUGUCUCCUAAGAAAUAUUUGUUGAUAUGUAUAUAAUAUACAUUUAAAUCUCCCUUCUCGCUGACUUGUGGUCUUGGGAACCCUUACUCAGAAAUCUUCCUCAGCCUAAGCUUUUUUUCUGAUGCUCCUCGGACCAGGCAGUAUAGCCUACCUCAAAACGGUCCAAGUUCUGUUGUGUGGAAGCAUUUGGUUCAGAUCGUGGCUCCUUGCCAGCAACAUCUCGUGACAAUUCCAUUUUUCUUAAGAAGAUUCUUGACUUACUAUUUCUGACCUGAUUUACAUACCAAACACUGACUCAUCAGCAACACAGCAUCACACACCCACUGGUCCACAUUGCAUCUGCCGUCUGAGUUGAACCUAGGAGGGAGCAUGUGUGAUGAAACAGGUCUACGUCUGUCCCUUUGGGAGUGGGAUAUGUCUCCAGGAGGGUUCACCAAUGCCAGCCAAUCUCUGGUAGCUAUGCACAGCAUUUCUGUGAGCAAAAGUGGCAUGAAGCGAGUGAGAGACUCUCACCGGGCAUGGGAAGGGCACUGUCACUGCCACAGGCGGGCAUUAACCUGGUAUUUCCGAAAGUGUAUUGCUAGAUGGGACAUGCACUGAUUUUUUUCUUCUCAUAGCAAAAUAUUUAUUGUGGCAUCUACUAGAAAAAGAUUACUGGCUUAUCACACCUUUGGUUUUAUUUUGAUUGAGGCUAAAAUGGAUAGACUUUAUGGGAAAAAUGAAUUGAUUUAAAGAAAAAAUAAUAUUCUAGUUGGUGUGUAGGAAUAGUGACAGUUGUGAGGGAGGGGAGAAACUGAUGUUUGGGGAGCACCGCAUCGUCAGUACUGAUGGCACGGCUAACAUGGACCACCCGUGUCCCUGCGGGCACAUGUCCAUUUCUGGCCUUGCCAAGACUCUACAGCUGGAAUGCACCUGCCAAGGACAUAGCCCAUAGAUUAAUGGGAGUUCAAUCACAGUGCCUUGGAUAAAAUGUUUAACUUCCUUUGCCCUCAAAGAAGGCCUGGGAGUACAGCACACAGGUAAACACACGUAAGCCUUCACAGCAGAGAGAAUGAAGUACCAGUCUCGGCCCCUUACUGACUCUCACUCUCGGAGUAAAUUGUCAAGCUUCUCGGAGGCUGAGUUUUCUCCUCUGACCAAAGGAGAUAGUAUUUAGGUAGAUUGCCGUGUUUUGGAUAAAUGGCAGGAUCUACAUAAAUUUCUAGUCACGCUGCAUGGCACUAUACUACAUACUCAGUAUUAUAAUUGUCCUUGUGUUCUUUUUUAAAAAGAGGUGUUUAUUUGACCAGAUGGCUCUAACGUGUUAAGAAAAGGAGUUGCUGAGUAUUUAUGACCAAGCAUUAUCCCACAGGCAUUACUGGCACAUAAGCUAUAAGAAGGCAUCCUGCAGCCAUGAGAAGAGGGAUAAGACACGGAAGACACUGGAGUGGAUGCUUCAGGCACGGUCCCCAGACCCCAUCCUUGCCAGUGUGGACUGAAAAGCAUUGCUGGUUAGUUCUUCUUUGGAACUAGACCCACUUCUGACACCCACAUCUUGAGGAAGAUAAAAAAGCUGGCAUCACUUUUCCGCUUUUCUUUAACUCAGGGAGCUCAAGCCAUUACCUUCUGCAGGUCUUCCCUUAUUAACAUUUUACGAUUUUUCUGUCAGAUCUACUUUUUAUUUAUAAUGACUGUAUGCUAUUCCACUGCAGAGUUUUUCUCGUAGACAUCGAGAUGUAGGUUGUUUCUAGUGUUUCACUUCUACAAACAGUGGGAUAAUAACAAGACACAUGUAAUUUCACGUGUGUGCAAGUAUACAUGCAGCACAAAUUCUUACAGAAUAUCAAAAUCAAAGGGUGUUUGCGUUUUCAGUUAUUAAUGAUGGUGUCAUCUUGCCCGGCGGAAAGGAGUUGGUUGACACUCUCACCGUAGAUGAGUGUUUCCCCGCAUCCAUGCUCAAAGGCUGCGUUUUAAAAGAGUUGUCCUUUCCUGGAUGCGAGUCAGAUUCAUUUCUGCUGAGCUACACCGGGAAUUCCUGCAACUGUCCUUUCGAAUCGCAAGUGCUUAGGUUGCAGAAAGGUGAGCUGUUGGCUCCUUUUCAAUGCUUUGGGACAAACUGGGUGGCUAGCCCCCCACCAUGCACUUUAUCUGGAGGUUACAUUCAGAGCUUUUCUGCAUUAGAAUUGGUGGUAGAUUUCCCUGAGUCCAGCUCCCCCACUUUGCAGGUCUGAGCGUCGAGGCUCAAUGCACAGAGGGUCUUGCCAGCUGCCAUGCAGAACCUCAAAUAUAUUUAUACUGAACAAGUGACCAUUCAUUGAUAGUCUCUGAACUAAAUGCUCUUUGAAUUCCCUUCCAGCUCCAAAAAUCCACUGCUUAAGUUGCAGUAAAGAUAAGUCACAUAGAGUGAACUCAAGGGUCAAACCCAGCUCGAGCAAGAUACAGUUUUCUGUACAUUCACAAUGGGUUUCUCUGAUGCAAAACUCACUCCCAGGAAUCAAGAAAUCAGAGGACCAUUAUCUUUUAGGGCCAAGAAUAUUCUCUCUCGCAGCACCAAUGAGAUUUCACUCACGCAUCUCGGGUAGAGCAGAUGAUGAGAUAAAAUUAUCCCAGCUGAUGGGUGUGUGUGCAGAGGUUUGCUUGUACCUUGCUCUUGACACUCUGCUGUGUUGUUAGUGCUAGUUUCUCUCCCUGGUUCUAUCCAAUAAAUGCUGCAUGUUUGGGGAGAAGGGAACAGAGCUCCAGGGAGCCUCUGACUGUCUCCACACACUGUCACACUGCAAGGGCUGCUCUUUCAGAGACGCUUUCUCAUGCUACCACACAGCCUUUCUUCAAAGUGAGCGAUAUCAGCAAGGUCAAGUACAAAUGGUUCUUGACAGCCAAAGAUGUUAGAAGUUAAGGACGCCUAAGCUCUAUGAGACUUCUCUACUGAGAAAUGGCCAUCGUAGGUAUCACAGAAAAUCCAGUUGAUUUUCCAUGAAGAAGCCGAUCGAUUACCGAUGGAUAGUUUAGUCCCCACGAAGAGUGAAUCCUUCCUCCUUGUCUGUCUUUCCUCUUUCUUUGCUCCACCUCCAAUGUUGGGGCCUUCUCCUCUUGUCCUCCUUCAGUGCCGGAAGCCCCAGUGCAGGGUGGCGAGGAGAGAGGGGGAAGCUCAACCCCGUCUCUUCUUAAGAAAGUAUGGGAGACCUGGAUUUUAGUUGCAGGGCUACCAUGAACUAUGGAACUUAGAACAACUCGAAACAUUUCCCUGAGUAUCUCUGAGGUUCUGUUCUAUCUGGAAAUUCUAGGAUUGGCUUUUUUAUGCCUUGUGAAGCUCCCGUUUUUUUGCGAAUGCAUUCUAUCCAUGUCAAGUUUUGCCAUGCGCCUUUGUUUUGAGUUAUUCUUCUGCAAGCAGCAGAAUCACAACUCCAGCUGAUGUAAGCAGCAAAGAUGAUUUCUGAUGUUGUGUAAAGAGAGAGCCAUGCUCAAGCAUGUCCUUAGGCUGUUUUCUGUCUCAGUGUUCUGUCUUGCGGACUCUCAGUCUUCCUCCCUCUCAGGUUCUAUUGCGCUCUCUCUGUUAGCUCCUCUCUUGUGCUGGCAAGGUACCCACUUCCAGAUCCACACCAACAUGCCAGCAACGCAAGCAAAAUAACUCCAUCAAAACCCCUGGAAUUGAAUUUCGCUAUUUAAAAAACUGUGUUCAUCCUAGAACCAGUUGCUGUGGGCAGUUCUAGAUCAUGUACCCACCCUUUGCCAGGCAAGGAAGGUGGUACAGGGAAAAACAGUUGACACUACUGAACUCAUACGAACUGAGAAUGGAGAAGGGUUGUUUCCCAGAAGGUUCUAUUAUCAGAAGAAAGUAGAGACGUUGGGUGAGCAAAAUGAGUGGGCAGUAGGUUUUAGAAUCACUGAAGCUUCACUUUUGCUAACAAGGAGAUUCUCUCCUUACUUUUCCAGUAGACUGCUUUUUAUCUUACUUGAACGAUGAGGAUGAUGAUAAAGAAUUAGCAUUCUCUUUAUCUUUAAAAUAUUCUGCCUUUGGAGUUCCCUUGUGGCUCAGCAGGUUAAGGAUCUGGCAUUGUCAGUGCUGUGGCUCUGGUGGCGUGGGUUUGAUCCCUAGCCUGGGAACUUCCUCAUGCCACAG